GCUGAAUAAAAGAACAUCCAGCUGUAUUAUUUACGGGGCCCCCAGGUCAAGGAAAGUAAGAAGAUACUUCCUUUACUGAAGACAUUGAACACUAUUUUCAAUCUAAAUUGGUAUUAUAGAAGACUGAAGAAAAAUGGCGGAGUAAAGGUGACUUCCUGGAUUCCUGCUCCCAGAGAAAGAGGCAUAGGUCUCCGUCUCCUACACAUGAGUGGAUCGCUCCCCCACAAGAACAGCAUUGUGAAUCAGCACAGAAUCAGCGUGGGACAUACAGAACAGAAAGGAAAAAAAGGUAAAUGGGAGACAGGAUUGUGAACUCUGGAGUGUGUGAAAGAAACAAUAGAGAAUAGAGUGAGAGAUGGCUGUUCCCUCCAGGCCAGCGAGUGAAGUGGGAUCAGACCCACAGGAGAACAUCUUGCUUCCCCACUGCCCUUCACACCCACUGAGACAGGGACCUGGCCUGAAGUAGGUGCAAAAUC
ensembl:lincRNA